rnacentral:lncRNA from 1 species
UCCAGCCAUGGAUCUGGUGGUUGGUAAGUGAUUGCAAUAACAGUAAAUAUCAAAACUGAGAACACAAACACUGAGAAACACACAUUACUUAUCAGCUUUAUCAGGUUCUGCCCUAUAGGAUCAGCUCCAGGAUUAGUUUCUUUCAUGGGUUUUCUCUAACCUUCAAAACUCAAAUCCAAAAUUUACUCAGAUCUUGAACUCAAACAGGAAAAUAAAACCAACCCAAGUUUUCUUAAACCAGAUCCAAUAAUGGGUUUGGUUAAAAAUCCAAUCCUUUUUGAACUAAGUACUGAAUCAAGUAAAUGAAAAAAUAGGAAAAGAAAGCCAAAAGGAAAGCUCUAAAUAAGGUUUUACUUACUUGAAAUGAAAUAGAGAGAAUGAAAGCAGUGAAACUUGGUGAGAUCUAAUGGGAAUUCAGCAUAAAGUUAUGAACUUUAAUGGAGAGGAAGAGAGGAUGGAGUGUUUGUGUUGAAAGUGUAAAGCUUUGGUUAGAACGAAAGCAAGAGACUCUGUUGUCAACUGUGGGUGUGAUUUUUCCUUGUCUGAAAGUGAACUCAGACAAGAGUGAGUUGUAGCCAGGAGGACAGGCUCUUGCGUUUUACAAGUUAAAGAUUAGAUUAGGGGUGCCUUGUUAGAAUCAAAGAUUUGUACCUAU